AGAGGUCAUUCAAAGCUACAAUAUGGUUUCUUUUCUGUGAUAUGGCUUCCCUUAUGUCAACCUUGUGUUGAGCUGGUAUUACACUGAGGUUGGAAGGAAGGGUUAGAGUUCACCAGGCAGAGGAGACAGGGAGGAAUGGGCUCCUGGAAGCUUGGAAGCAGGGAGGAGCCCUCCUUGAGGUCCCAGGGCUGCAGGUCCCACUUCCCUCCACACCUGGCACAGGGCCGGGCGGUGGUGAGGGACAGCCCAGCUGUCUGGAGGAUGGAGCCCUGAGAGAGGAAUCCAGUCCCGGAGUCCAGGCCGAGCUGCAGCGGAACCUGCAUGUCUCGGCUUCCUUAUGGGUCAGAUGGAGUUUCUGACUCCAGCUUCUUCUGCAGCCCUGAGAGGUGGAUGCCACCCUCUGGACUCUCAAGUGAGCACAUGGAGGCCCAGGGGGCGCCCCUCGCAGGAGACCAGAGGCAGGAGCUGAGAACAGAGCCCAGCACACCUCUCCUGGUCUCUCAGCUGAGUCACGCUCUGGGAUCCCCAGAGGUUUCACCAACUUCACAGGGAUGACGGAGAACAGAGAAUCAAAUGAUGGUCAUGGGAAACGUGCCAUGAUGUCACAUGGCAGUCAUGGGAAAGGACAUGCCUGGCAAUGGUGUUGGCCUUGUUUUCUUCUGGGAUGGGGUCACUGGGCUGUGCUGGGACUGAGAGGAUCUGGAUCUGAGCCCCCAGCUGUGACAAAGCCCUGUGAGCCUGGGCAAGGGGGAGGCUGCAUUUGCUGGGAAGAAACUCCUUUGAUUCCAGUGUGGAGAAAGAGAGAGGCGUGCAGAUUUAAACUGCAUCGUGAGAGUUCAAGCCAGACACGUGGAAGAACAUCCAGGCUGAGGGUACUGAGAAGGAAAGGGGAAGUAAGCACCUGCCCACUUGAUAGUGUUGAAGGGGAGCAGAACUUGUCACCCCAAAAUAUGCCUUUUUGGCAUAAAGAUUAUUUUAGACUGAUUAUUUUUAAGAAACUGCGAACACUGGAGAAGCUAUGAAAACCAAUAAAAGUUACCCUCUUGUAAGAGACAUUGACAUUUAUAGGGGAAAUCUCUAUUUGUAAAGAUGUCUCCCUCUCUAUACCAGGAAGAGAAAGAUGACUUUAAAUCUGUAGAAACUCUUCUCAACGGAGAAGGCAGACUUCAAUCUGCAUUACAGCCUUACCCUUGUUUACUUGCUUUCCUGUAAACCUCCCCUAACGGGCCUCCCCACUACAACACCUUCUUUUGUCUUUAGCUGGAGAUGUUAUUUAAGGUGAUGUCGGUCAACAUCUUGGGCCAUUUCGGGGAGUUACUCAGUUUUUCAGGGUCUCUACCACAUAUACAAGAGGUGUACAUGUUAUUAAAUUUCUGUUUGUUUCUCUCCUGUUAAUCUGUCCUUUUUAUUGUAGGGUGGUCUCAGUCAAGAACCUAGAAGGGUAGAGGGAAAAUUAUUUUUCCUCCCCCACAGUGUCAUCAGCUCUUAGGACAGGAAAUGGCAAAGCCAGUUCCCUAAUUAGGACCCCGUCAGAGUCAAUUACCUGGAGCUACAGCCAAGGGGAAAAUCAAUCAGGGCAGAGAUGAGCUUUCUCAAAGAUCUUUCUGGCUUUGGGCAGGGGAGAGGGUGGCAGGGAUGGGAAAGAAAUGUAGUCUCCCAAGCUGGGGUCCAGGCCUAUCUAAAGGCUUAAUAUUUGUAAAGGUCUGGAAUUGGGAUGGGGGCAAAGGAGGGCUGAAUAAUUUACAAAGAAAGCAAGUGGAGAAGUGGCUGUUGCUGAUGCUGAGGUUGUGCCUUGUUAGUCUCAAAGCAGUACGCUUGCCCUCCUGGGACAAAAAGUGCAUGUGGUGAUGUUGGAGGAGGGGGGGUACUGUUACCAAGCCCUAAGGGACCAGUGACCUGAAAGUGGGUCUUUUUGCUCUGAGUCGCUUGUGCCAGCAGAACGAGACUGGGUUCAGAACAGCAAAGGAGAAAUUUUAUUCGCACAUUGAGGACUGGAGAAGAGAAAGCUUGUGCUCUACAGACAGCUUCUCCUUGAAGAUGAGGAAAUGGAGAACAAGGAGGAGGAACCACGGGAUCAUCAAGACUCUGGAAAAGGGGCGGAGACUUCCAGGAACAGUUGGUACAUGCGCAGUUCUCCAAACUCCUGUGCACAUGGCACCAAGGUGCCUAGCAAGAUGCUGAAUCAAUUUCCCCAGUCUUUGAGUCUGGCCUUCUCUUGUGACUUGCUUUGAGCAGCAGAAUGUGGCAGAAGGGCUACUGCAUGAGUUCCAGAGCUGAGGUCUCCAGACCCCUGCAGCUUCUGCUUUUCAUCAGAAUACAGCCGGCAGACCACAGAAGAAGGCAGCAAGUCCAGCCUCCUGGAGGUUAAUUUGCAGGCCGUCAUUCACUGGACCCAAGUUGGGAGGGGAAGAGUUUUCCUCCCAAUAGAGGCUAUGUGGAAAAGAAUAGAGAAGCCCCAACAUAUAGCCAGUCCCAAGACUCUAGAAGAAGUCUGGGUGAGGCUAUCUUGGAUCUUCCAGCCCAGCUAAGCCCAGUCAGCAGCUGAAUGUAUCUACAUGAGAGCCCAGGCAAGACCAGCAGAACUGCCCAGUCAAUCCAAAGAAUUGUGAGAGAUAAUAAAUAUUUGUUGUUUUAAACCACUAA